GGAGAGAUGGCCGAGAGGCUGAAGGCGCCGCUCUCGAAAAGCGGUAUUCCCAAAAGGAAUCGCGGGUUCGAAUCCCGCUCUCUCCGCCA
rnacentral:tRNA from 1 species